GUGAGGAAUAUUGCGCAAUGGAGGCAACUCUGACGCAGCCAUGCCGCGUGCAGGAAGAAGGCGCUACGCGUUGUAAACUGCUUUUAACCGGGAAGAAACCCCAGGACGUGUCCUGGGUUGACGGUACCGGAGGAAUAAGCACCGGCUAACUUCGUGCCAGCAGCCGCGGUAAUACGAAGGGUGCAAGCGUUAUCCGGAUUCAUUGGGUUUAAAGGGUACGUAGGCGGAGCGUUAAGUCAGUGGUGAAAUCCUGCAGCUUAACUGUAGACUUGCCAUUGAUACUGGCGCUCUUGAGUGCGCUUGAAGUGGGCGGAAUGUGCCGUGUAGCGGUGAAAUGCUUAGAUAUGGCACAGAACACCAAUUGCGAAGGCAGCUCACUAAGGCGAUACUGACGCUGAGGCACGAAAGCGUGGGGAUCGAACAGGAUUAGAAACCCGUGUAGUCC
rnacentral:rRNA from 1 species